rnacentral:rRNA from 1 species
UACAGAGGGUGCGAGCGUUGUCCGGAAUCACUGGGCGUAAAGGGCGCGUAGGUGGCAGGUAAGCGUGCGGUGAAAGCCCGGAGCUCAACUCCGGUCGGCCGUGCGAACUGCUCUGGCUCGAGCACUGGUAGAGGCAGGUGGAAUUCCGGGUGUAGCGGUGGAAUGCGUAGAGAGUCCGGAAGAACGACCGGUGGCGAAGGCGGCCUG